AUUGAACGCUGGCGGAAUGCUUUACACAUGCAAGUCGAACGGCAGCACGGACUUCGGUCUGGUGGCGAGUGGCGAACGGGUGAGUAAUACAUCGGAACGUGCCCAGUCGUGGGGGAUCACGUAGCGAAAGCUACGCUAAUACCGCAUACGAUCUAAGGAUGAAAGCGGGGGAUCGCAAGACCUCGCGCGAUUGGAGCGGCCGAUGGCAGAUUAGGUAGUUGGUGGGGUAAAGGCUCACCAAGCCGACGAUCUGUAGCUGGUCUGAGAGGACGACCAGCCACACUGGGACUGAGACACGGCCCAGACUCCUACGGGAGGCAGCAGUGGGGAAUUUUGGACAAUGGGCGCAAGCCUGAUCCAGCCAUUCCGCGUGCAGGAUGAAGGCCCUCGGGUUGUAAACUGCUUUUGUACGGAACGAAAAGGCUCUGGUUAAUACCCGGGGCUCAUGACGGUACCGUAAGAAUAAGCACCGGCUAACUACGUGCCAGCCGCCGCCGUAACAC
rnacentral:rRNA from 1 species